rnacentral:rRNA from 1 species
AACGAACGCUGGCGGCAGGCUUAACACAUGCAAGUCGAACGCCCCGCAAGGGGAGUGGCAGACGGGUGAGUAACGCGUGGGAAUCUACCUAGUUCUACGGAACAACAGUUGGAAACGACUGCUAAUACCGUAUACGCCCUACGGGGGAAAGAUUUAUCGGAAUUAGAUGAGCCCGCGUAAGAUUAGCUAGUUGGUGGGGUAAUGGCCUACCAAGGCGACGAUCUUUAGCUGGUCUGAGAGGAUGAUCAGCCACACUGGGACUGAGACACGGCCCAGACUCCUACGGGAGGAAGCAGUGGGGAAGAUUGGACAAUGGGCGCAAGCCUGAUCCAGCCAUGCCGCGUGAGUGAUGAAGGCCUUAGGGUUGUAAAGCUCUUUCACCGAUGAAGAUAAUGACGGUAGUCGGAGAAGAAGCCCCGGCUAACUUCGUGCCAGCAGCCGCCGUAA